rnacentral:lncRNA from 1 species
GGCAAGUUCGGAAGUUUUUUGUUGUUUUUUGUUUUGGGGUAACAUUUAAAGUAGGAUGCCUUGUAAGACUUAUCAAAAGCAUAAAGUGAUCUUAUGCUAGGCUUCUAAACAAUUUUUCCUUGUGAUGAGCACCCGUGUGCCAAAAAUUGUUCCAAGUGAUUGGAACACAUCAGAAACUGACCCUUACCUUGUAGAGUGUAUAUUCAAAAAAAGGAAACAAAUAUGCAAUGAUCAUCAUUCAGUAAUAUGUUAGAAGGUAAUACUAUAUGGGAAUCAGGUGGUUGGAAUUUUAAGUGAUUAGGAUAGGCCACAUUGAGGAGCUGACAUUUGAGUAAAGUCUUGUGCUUGGGAUGACUCCUGUGUUUAAAGUACAUUGUAAGACAAUGAUAAACUCAAGGAAAAAAAUUAGUAGGCCGUUAUAGUAAUCUAUGGAGAAGAUGAAAUCAGAUCCAGAUAUAGUUUUGAAGUACAACCAAUGGAAUUUGCUGUGUAAAUGUAGAUUGAGAGAAAUGAUUACUGGAAGGUGGACAUGCUUCUAACACAUUUGCAGUCCUGAGGUAAGAGUAUAAAGCAGGUAUCAUGUAUUUAAUAUUUAAGCAUUUUGUUAAAUAAAAAUAUGUCCAAUUUUGACAAACAUACCUUUGUAAAAACCUGGAAAGCCAGGUUUGAAUUUUCACCAGAAUGUAACUUAUAAGCAGAUCUGAUUCUCAGCCCAUGUCCCAUUUUUCAUUUGUUCCCCCCCUAAGCUGUGAAUGGUUUCAAAAAGCCUCCUGCAUGUUUGGGGGGACACUGUUGCCUGUGUAAUAGAACUGUCCAUGUACACAGUGGUAACUGCAUUUCCUGGAACAGUUUGGAGGUCAUUUGGAGUCUCAAGUGCCUGGAGUGUAGAAUAUGUAUUCGAGAUGGACAUGCCAUUUUGAC